rnacentral:tRNA from 1 species
GCGUGGGUAGCAUAAUGGUUUAGUGUGUCUGCCUUCCAAGCAGACGAUCCGGGUUCGAAUCCCGGCUCGCGCA